rnacentral:rRNA from 1 species
GAUGAACGCUGGCGGCGUGCCUAACACAUGCAAGUCGAGCGUGAACCCUGCGAAUGAAACUUCGGUCGAUUUUGCAGGGGGAAAGCGGCGGACGGGUGAGUAACGCGUAGGUAACCUGCCCCAUACUGAGGGAUAGCCUCGGGAAACCGGGAUUAAUACCUCAUAACACCGUAUAUUCGCAUGGAUGUGCGGUCAAAGAUUUAUCGGUAUGGGAUGGGCCUGCGUCUGAUUAGCUGGUUGGUGGGGUAACGGCCUACCAAGGCGACGAUCAGUAGCCGACCUGAGAGGGUGAUCGGCCACAUUGGAACUGAGACACGGUCCAAACUCCUACGGGAGGCAGCAGUGGGGAAUAUUGCACAAUGGGCGAAAGCCUGAUGCAGCAACGCCGCGUGAGCGAAGAAGGCCUUUGGGUCGUAAAGCUCUGUCGGGUAGGAGGAUAAUGACGGUACUACCCGAGGAAGCCCCGGCUAACUACGUGCCAGCAGCCGCGGUAAAAGUACUCU